rnacentral:rRNA from 1 species
UCCUUGAGAGUCCUGAAGGAACGUUGAAGACGACGACGUUGAUAGGCCGGGUGUGUAAGCGCAGCGAUGCGUUGAGCUAACCGGUACUAAUGAACCGUGAGGCUUAACCUUACAACGCCGAAGSUGUU